AAGCCAUUGCUCUCUUUCUCUGGCCAUCACACUAACAGACAAGAAGAUUUGACAAGCAUGGCAGGUUUCUGCCUCUCAGCCUGGAAAUGGAAGGCAAGAAAGCUGCAACUUCUGAAGCCAAUUACUUAAGUUUUUUGCCUCAAUCUCUCCUCACAAGAAAGGAUUGAAUGAAACCUUCCCAGAGCCCUCUUAUCAUAUGUGCAUUCUAAUCUCCUCUCGCAAGAAGCGUUCUACAGGGAUCCUUCUGAAGGAAUAGCUUGUUUCUGUGCAGCUCAAAUGUGCCAACAGGGAACAUUUACUCAGAGAUUCUUUGCAGUGUUUGGGUCCUUACCGGCAGGAAAAGAUGUGCAAAGUUCUACAGAGUGGAAAUGUUUCAGACAAAGUUGGACUUUCACUUGCAGGAAAG